rnacentral:rRNA from 1 species
CACCUAGCCGACGAUGGAUAGGGGUUCUGAGAGGAAGGUCCCCCACAUUGGAACUGAGACACGGUCCAAACUCCUACGGGAGGCAGCAGUGAGGAAUAUUGGUCAAUGGGCGAGAGCCUGAACCAGCCAAGUAGCGUGAAGGAUGAAGGUUCUAUGGAUUGUAAACUUCUUUUAUAAGGGAAUAAAGUGCUUUACGUGUAGAGUUUUGUAUGUACCUUAUGAAUAA